AUGGUUUGGAUCACAUACAGUUGGCGUGACUUGUACAGCUUCUUUGACGAUGUUGUUACCACAACUGCCAUAGCACUUUCCUGUGUAGAUAGGAUUAUUCUUAAACUAGAUCAUUUCAAUGGCCUCAACCGGCAGAGUGGUGAACUGCAGUGAAACAUGACGACCGGAGGAAGACAGAAAAGACUUCUUAAACAGCUUGCUACAGAAGAGAGCCACAUCUUCAGGCAUACAGCGGUGUCUAUAAGAACUUGCUAAAUACUGCCGGUGUCCUUGCAGCCUUGCUCUCUAGUCUUUAACUAAAUCAGAUGCUAUCAGACUCCUCAUUAAGUUUAGAAAGUCUGUGAAGGGGAGGUAGGAAACUCUUCAGACAGCCUUACCUGACAGUUAGGGAAGUGUUAAUUUUCCUUGUCUUUUGCCUAGCCACAGGUAGGCAUUGUUUGCCAUUAAUUUUAAGCUGCCUGCUAAUACUUAAAUUAAAACUCUUCAGAGACUUUAUUUUUUAGUGCUUGAGAAGUCAUUUGACAGCUCAUGAAGUGGCAGGUGAGUACUGGCAAGAUUGAAGACUAGGUGUUGUCCAAGGGCAAAUGUACUUGGCAAGGAAAUCAAGCAAAUUUGCAACUAAAACAGCUGGUCAUGACAUGCUAUACUUAAAGUAAAUGACACUUAGGGUGGCCCAUUCUAACUAUAUAAGGAGCCAAGUACAAGCUUGCUCUAUGUGCAUUGCCAGACUUUUAUCCGGGGGAGGAGGGGGGUAAUGGGAGGAAGGGUAGAACGAAGAGAUAAAGAUGAUAUGCGGUCUCAGAAUAAAGGGUUUUGAAAGACUGAUGGCCUAGGUUUC
rnacentral:lncRNA from 1 species